rnacentral:lncRNA from 1 species
GUUGGUGAGGUCAUUGUGAGAAAGGCCAAAAGGGACCAGCUCUUGUUCUAAAUGCCUCUGUGCAAUUUUGGCUAGAAAGAAAGCCUAGGCCUUAUCUAUCCAUAAGGCACAAUCUACUUAGUACUCUAUACAGCAGCUUAUGAAGACCACCUGGAGGACGGCUUGACCCAAAUUGCCCAGUAAUUUAGCUAAGACUCAGAGGUGGUUGUUUCAGUUAACGUGACUGUGGUUCAGAUGUUUCAUCUCUAAAAGAAUGUGCUUAUUGAAGCGUAAGGAAUAGCACUAGCAGGGGCACAGCAAGCCCGAGGCCAGGCUGGGGAGUUUAGAUCAGAAGCUAAAGGAAUGCAGUGGGCUUGGUCAUACAAAAGAAUAGGAGUGCCUAGCUCUCUCUUGGCAAUGAUGGCUGCCGUGCUGUGUUCUGAGCCUAUCUUGGGCUUCUGCCAGGAACAAUUGGUUGGUUUCUGUGAAUCUCAGGAAGUUAUCACCAGCAUCAGUAUUUGUUGGCUGUACACGAGACUGCUUUACAUUGAGGUCGUUGCUCCCGCUAUUGCUGUGCAUAUCUCUCUGUCAGAGGCAGAGGUUCCCGGUAUUUCUAUCAUCCGCAUCCCCUCUUCAGAUUAAAGUAAUUUUAAAUUUGACAAUAAAAUGCUCACUGCCAUAAGCUGGAUGUGGUGGUGCACACCCACAGUCUCCGCACUUGGCUGGGGUGGAGGCAGGAAUAUUAGGAGUUCAGGGUUGUACUUGGCUUCAAGUUAUACCUGGUUGCAGCUAGCUUGGGAUACAUGAUACCCUGUCUCAAAAAAAACAAAACAAAAAGAUCAGGAUUAACAAUGCAUAAGAAGCACAGAAUGCUGAGCCCUUUUACAAUAAAGGCUCUGUCACUGCUGGAUGCUCAGCACCGGCUGCACAACAGCGCAGUGAGUCUCCUCACACGGCAGAGACACAGGACUAAAGCCUGGUUGUCACGUGGUAUCCGACACCUAGGGGGACUCACUGUAGGAGAUAAUGGAAGAGUGGAAAGGAAAGCUUUCAGAGAAGUGAGCACCUAAGUUAAUAAGGCAGUCUGCAGUUUACGCACAGUCCUCCAUGAGCAAAUGUGCUGAGAUUACAUGAGCACAAGUGUUGUUUGCUUGUGGGAUUGCCAGUAUUAGGAUUUAGAGAAGUCAAUUUAUUUAUAUUAAAAUUAAGAAAAGUAUGUACAAAUGGUGCUUCAUUUUCUAGAUUUCUGUGUCCCUCAAUGUAUUUCCAUUCUAUUCUAUUCUUUUUUUUUUUUUUUUUUUUUUUGGUUUUUCAAGACAUGGUUUCUCUUUGUAGCCUUGGCUGUCCUGGAACUUACUCUGUAGACCAUGCUGGCCUUGAACUCAGAAAUCUGCCUGCCUCUGCCUCCCAAGUGCUGGGAUUAAAGGCAUGUGCCGCCACUGCCCGGCUUUCCAUUCUAUUCUAAGGUGGCAGUUAGUCAUGUCUGUCUGCCGUCUUCUACAGCACCACAGUGUGAGGAGUAGAUGAUGUCAUCUUAUGUGGCCUGGUCAGGAGAAUCUUGACACAGUGGGUCCUGACAUCUCUGUUGCUAACUCAGGACAAGCAACUCAAAUGAGUUGGGGGAGGGAAGAAGGGUCUUAAGAAAUCCUUUUUCCCUUCAUCAUUUAUAUUCUGUUACCCAUACUAGCAAAAUGAAUGUAGCCAUUAAUACUUCUGCUUAGGACCAGGCAUAGUGGCACAUGACAGAGGCGGGCAGAUUCCUAUUCAAACUCCUGGUCUACAUAGUGAGUUCCAGAAGAGCCAGAGCUAC